rnacentral:lncRNA from 1 species
CUAGGGUUUUUAGGGUUUAGAGGACGAACCAGUAGCCAAGAUUGAUUGAUGAUUCUUUCUCCUCCCUAGCUCUUCUUUAACGUCUACAAGAAAGUUGGAAAAUUAUUAGUAUUGUUAUUGUUACGAUUCUUUGUUAAAUUUUUUUUAAUGAAGAUUCGAAUUGAAGAUACCAUGGAUGAUUAUCAUAAAGGUGAAGAAUACAAAGACGAAUACAUCAGCAGUCACGUUUUCUGAUUCAGAGUGGGGACAAGAUGACAGAUUGCUGCCCUAAUGGAGCUCCUUCGUUCUUUAGCUAUAUAUAUACAUAUAUAUAUAUAUUAAGUAUUUGAAAAACAAAAAAAAAAAAAAAGAAAAGAAAACAAAAGCAAUAUUGUAAGGUAGUGGGGAGACGAUUACCCAGUUGGAUUUAUGUAAAUUCUUGCAACCACCGCCUCAUUUUCAUCAUCACCAUCAUCAUCAUAUCAUUCUGCAGCCAACCAGAUGCUAGUUCAUACUCGGAACUUGUCUUUUCUUGUUCUGCACUAGGUUUUUAUAUUGUUAAAUCUUUCUUUUGUUCUUGUUUUUCUUUUCAAUUAAUAGUAGUUCUUGAUGAUUGGGUGUUGGAACUUUCUCAAUUUAGAUAAACCCAGAUGGAUCAUUAAGAUAAUUGAUUCAAAUUUGGUAAUUAACUUGUGGAGUAUGAUGAAUUAGGUCUUUCAUCCCAACUGUAAUUUGGACUGAUGCCUUCAAACUUAAUU